rnacentral:rRNA from 1 species
CGCACCUUGCGCCCCUCGGCUAUUCCUUGGGGCAUGCCUGUUUGAGUAUCAUGAACACCUCAACUCUCAUGGUUCGCCGUGAAGGGAUUGGAUCUGGGGGUUUGCUGGCCGCUCGGUCUGCUCCUCUCAAAUGAAUCAGCUUGCCGGUGUUUGGUGGCGUCACAGGUGUGAUAACUAUCUACGCUUGUGGCGGUCCACUGGGUAACCUUUGGUGACAAAGGUUCACUGGAGCUCACAAAUGUCUCUCCUCAGCGGAGACAGCUUUCGAACGUUCGAUCUCAAAUCAGGUAGGACUACCCGCUGAACUUAAGCAUAUCAAUAAGCGGAGG